GGCUUAGGAAGAGGCGCGAUAGCUAGGUAGCAUUUCUUGAUAAGUUCCAACACUUAAGAAAUGUGAGGGAGUUUUUCGCCGAGGUAACUGAGCGGUUGGAUGCUUGGUUAUCGGCUGUUGGGUUUGAACACCUGCAGUUGUCACCAAACGGGUGGAGAGCUUCUGGCUGC
rfam:Idiomarina baltica OS145 scf_1099451322316 genomic scaffold, whole genome shotgun sequence.